UGCGUCACACUUGCUUCAGGUGCCUUUAAGUUUUCUCCUUGAAGGUUAAACGGGAAGCUGGUGCGCUCUGAUUAAAUUCAGGCAAUGCCAGCACUGCCCCCGCAACGGUAAUUGAGUUAACAAUCUGCAUCAUGCCACUGUGCAACGACACGGGAAGGCGCAGAUCUGGGAUUUAUUCCGCUCAUGAGUCCGGAGACCGGCCAGAAGUGAACAUUACUA
rnacentral:ncRNA from 2 species